AUGUGUUUCUGCAGUCAUUUUUGCACCGCGUGCCUCUGGUUUACACUCUACUUCGUACACACGUGGACGCAGACGACACCCCCACUGAAAAAGAAUAAAACCAAGAUUUUUUUCAAUAGCACGGGCUUCAGAAGAGCCGUAACUUCACCGUCGUUCGUGGACAAAACCCUCUUCAUCAAGCACUUCAUCGAAUCGGGCGAGAGUGUCGUGAUAUCCGCCCCCCGCGGUUUCGGCAAAUCCACCAACCUGGACAUGCUCCGGAUCUAUCUGGAGCACAGAUUAGUCCAGAUCGCUAACAUCGGCGGAAGAGCGUGAGUAGUUUUGUGAGCGCCAUUGGCGGGACAAUCCAUGGGCAUUUAAAACUAGGAACCCAAACUGAAAUUUUGGCUAUUUCUAGCAGAUUUUCGGCGGGAGAACACUUCUUUUCAGAUUUUUGUGGGAUGAAACGUUCCGAAGAAUUCAAGAAUUAGUUUCUCAGUAGAAUUUAUGUGGUUCAAUAUUUCCAGAUUAAAAUAUGCAGCACUCUCCCCCUUAAUUUGGAAUGUCUAUCACGCAUCUAUUCUAGAUGAAUCGAUAUCUUCACCGCCAGAUUAUAAUAUAUCAUAUUUUUGAAGUUUAAAGCCUUAGAAACCGAAAAUUAAAGCAAAAUCCUAGCAAAAUGAGACUUUUGGUUCCUAGUUUUGAAUUCCCGCCAGGCCCCCAUGAGAGCAGUUAAUUGCUACCAACUGUUGUAAGAAUAUUGAAACAGAAUACUUAGCAUAACAGUAGUUGAUAAAAUCUUAUUUGAUCAAAAACCAUUAUUACACAUUACUAUUUAUACUUUAUUAAAGCUUUUAUAAUCAGAUUCAAGAGGAAAGAGCCUCCCAAAAUUUGGCCCCUUUUUAGGUAUUCGAUUCGACCAUCGGGCCAAGGUUUAAAUGGAAGCUUAUAGUAACAGAAAACUCAGGAAAAAAUUUCAAGAUGAGUAUAGGGACCGUUUUCGAGUUACGGGGGGGCAAAGGGGUCAUAAUCCGGCCUAAUUUUUUGCUGUUUCCUUGUAGAAUUGAUGUAUCGCCGGGGUUUUUAUCGUUGUUUACGCAUGUGUAGCACAUCGAUUCCUACGUAUUUUUACACGUAGAAUCGAUUUUUAAUGUUGCCGAAUUGAUAUACUGAUCAGUAAAAUCGAUUUUGAACGAUUUUUUAAGGAAAAUCGAUGAUUUUUGGGAUCGAAAUUGUUUAUUUUCGAUUCAUGAAUGAAUGAAUGCACAUAAAAUGACUGAAGCACACCGAACCCUACGUAUUUUGACACGAAGAAUUGAUUUUUAACGUCGACGAGUCGAUUUACUUAUCAUUUGUAUCGAAUUUUUGCGAUUUUUUACGGAAAAUCGUUGACUUUUCGGAAUCAAAAUCGGGUUUGCUCCAUCCGAGAUGAGAGAUAUGUACCCAACAUGUCUGGAGCACAUCGAUUCUUACGUAUUUUUACACGUGGAAUCGAUCUAUAACCUCGAAGAGUCGAUAUAUCGAUCAGUUGUAUUGAAUUUUUGCGAUUUUUUGCGGAAAAUCGAUGGUUUAUCGGGAUUGAGAUCGGUGUUUCUCCAUCCGAGAUCGGGGAAAUGUACUUUUCAUGAUUGGAGCACAUCAAUUCUUACACGUAGAAUCAAAUACUAACGUCGACGAGUCGAUAUAUCGAUCAGACAUACACAACUCUUGCGAUUUUUAACGGAUAUUUGAUGGUUCUUUUGGAUUGACAUUGGAGAAAUCUACCAGACCAGACAUGACUGGAGCACAUUGAUUCUUUCGUGAUUAUUCUCGCAAAAUCAAUUUUUGUGUCGACAAGUCGAUAUAUUGGCUGGUCAUAUUGUUUUCUUGCGAUUUUUAUGGAAAAUCGAAUUUUUUGAUCAGGAAUGAAAUCGGUUAAUUACGGUCCGAGGGUGGAGAUGGGGGUCCUGACAUGGUCGGAGCACGCCGAUUUCCACGUACUUUUACACGUAGAAUCACUUUAAAGGUUGGCGAGUUGAUAUAUCGAUUGAUCAUACUCGGCCAAUUCGAGGGACAGUUUUAUCUUCCUUCAAAUAUGCUAAUCCGGAAUUCUCAUACUGCUCCAUCAUGACCAAAUAACCUUAAAAAUGAUUCUACGUGUAAAAGUACGUGGGGAUCGACGUUUAAAAUUGAUUCUACGUGUAAGAAUUGAUGUGCUCCAAUCAUGAAAAGUACAUUUCCUCGAUCUCGGAUGGAGAAACACCGAUCUCAAUCCCGAUAAACCAUCGAUUUUCCGCAAAAAAUCGCAAAAAUUCAAUACAACUGAUCGAUAUAUCGACUCUUCGAGGUUAUAGAUCGAUUCCACGUGUAAAAAUACGUAAGAAUCGAUGUGCUCCAGACAUGUUGGGUACAUAUCUCUCAUCUCGGAUGGAGCAAACCCGAUUUUGAUUCCGAAAAGUCAACGAUUUUCCGUAAAAAAUCGCAAAAAUUCGAUACAAAU
rnacentral:lncRNA from 1 species